rnacentral:lncRNA from 1 species
CAAGCACUGGCUAGCAGUGCUGGAAGGAGGCAGCCACCAGGAGUAAUAAAUCACCACCAGUCCUGGACACAGCUCCCAACAGGAAGGAUUCGAUCACCUGGUUUCAGACCGCUGCUGGGUAGGAACUGUGGAUGCCACAUGCUGUAGCCCACGGCCCGCUCGGAAAGGGAAGGAGCAGCAGAGGCCGGCCCAGGAUGUGUAAAACCCCCCGGCGGGACACACAGCAAUGGUGGCCCAGAGGGAGCUACCAGCCCCCAGCCACCACAAGGUCGUCAGAAGUUGAACAGAAUUACUGCAAAAAUAAAUGUGUUGGAGACCAUCCCUUUCUGAAUGCACCUAUAGUGUCCCUUCUGCAGCCUUGCAUGUUAGAGAGAGGCAAGAAUCAAACCCUGCAUCUGAAGACACCCCGAAUCCUUGAGGAAAUCUGAAUUCACCUGCUCCAAGCACCUAGGCAAAGCACAAGCCUUUGGUCUGAAAGUUCAGAGGAAUUCAGCUCCAGAUGAGGACUUUAUAGGAGGGCUCACGAAUGCUUCAGCUGAACAAAACACCAGAAAUGGAGGAAGAAUCUCAAUACUUGAAGAGCAAGGGGAUCUACUCAGGUUUCAAACCCCUUUGUACUCCAAACAAUUGCAAAUUGUAUUUGUUAUUUAUUGAGGGCCUUCUGACGUGGUUAGAGUUAAAAACCAGGCUAAAAUUGGACCUCACAGCUUUGCUUUGAUACAUGAAAACAGACAUGAAUGUCACAUCAUUCCUCUGCCCUGCUUUCUGUGCUCAUAUGAGCAGACAGGGGAUGGAAAAACACAAUAAUUUUCCUCUCUAGGGACCGCAUAGCUCAAGGGAUUGGUAAUAGGACAUAAGCCUUUCAGCCCUAAAUCAAUUACUCAGAAUUGACUUAGGUUGUUAGUAACUGAGUUUGUUUGUUUGGCUCCAUAAAAAACAUAAAAUAUAUUCACUCUUACAAUUACUGCCAUUUUUACGUGGUAUAGAGUAGAAGCCAGAUAAGCUCUGAGGAUACCUUCCCACCUUUUUACUACUGACUUGGAGAGUCUGAUGAAACCAAGGCCAAAAUGUGCAAAAAGCAAAAGCAAGCAUUAACACUUGGUAUAUAGUUAAAAUACCCAUGCUUUAGGCAAUAGGUUUUCAAAAGUUAAUUCGAAACCUCUCCUAAGUUAAGCAAGCUCAUCCAAGGUUUGUGACUACAAAAAGCCUUGGAUCACCAGCUCUAGGCAUUUGUGCUGAGCAAAUGUCAGCAAGUUUGCUUCCAAGGCACAACAUUAAAUAGGAAUUGGUGUUUCUUUUUCUAUAACAAAGGUAAAAAUAAUUUUAUGCAAAUAUAAUUUUACCUUUCAUGAGGCUUAAGAGGUCUCUCAACUCCAUAUUAACGCAUAUAGGAAUGAUAAUGAACCAAUAAAUAUCCAAGUUCAGGUAAUAUUCGCUAUUCG